rnacentral:rRNA from 1 species
AUUGAACGCUGGCGGCAGGCCUAACACAUGCAAGUCGAGCGGAUGAAGGGAGCUUGCUCCUGGAUUCAGCGGCGGACGGGUGAGUAAUGCCUAGGAAUCUGCCUGGUAGUGGGGGAUAACGUCCGGAAACGGGCGCUAAUACCGCAUACGUCCUGAGGGAGAAAGUGGGGGAUCUUCGGACCUCACGCUAUCAGAUGAGCCUAGGUCGGAUUAGCUAGUUGGUGGGGUAAAGGCCUACCAAGGCGACGAUCCGUAACUGGUCUGAGAGGAUGAUCAGUCACACUGGAACUGAGACACGGUCCAGACUCCUACGGGAGGCAGCAGUGGGGAAUAUUGGACAAUGGGCGAAAGCCUGAUCCAGCCACGCCGCGUGUGUGAAGAAGGUCUUCGGAUUGUAAAGCACUUUAAGUUGGGAGGACGGGCAGUAAGUUAAUACCUUGCUGUUUUGACGUUACCAACAGAAUAAGCACCGGCUAACUUCGUG